rnacentral:rRNA from 1 species
AGAGUUUGAUCCUGGCUCAGGAUGAACGCUGGCGGCGUGCUUAACACAUGCAAGUCGAACGGGAAUGCCGCGCUGAUGCGAUUUCGGUCAAAUCAUGUGGCAUUCGAGUGGCGGACGGGUGAGUAACGCGUGGGUAACCUGCCUUACACAGGGGGAUAACACCUGGAAACAGGUGCUAAUACCGCAUAAGCGCACAGGGCCGCAUGGCCCGGUGUGAAAAACUCCGGUGGUGUAAGAUGGACCCGCGUCUGAUUAGCUUGUUGGCGGGGUAGGGGCCCACCAAGGCGACGAUCAGUAGCCGGCCUGAGAGGGUGGACGGCCACAUUGGGACUGAGACACGGCCCAAACUCCUACGGGAGGCAGCAGUGGGGGAUAUUGGACAAUGGGGGAAACCCUGAUCCAGCGACGCCGCGUGAGUGAAGAAGUAUUUCGGUAUGUAAAGCUCUGUCAGCAGGGAAGAAAGAAAUGACGGUACCUGACCAAGAAGCCCCGGCUAACUACGUGCCAGCAGCCGCGGUAAUACGUAGGGGGCAAGCGUUAUCCGGAAUUACUGGGUGUAAAGGGAGCGUAGACGGUGAUGCAAGUCUGGAGUGAAAGGCGGGGGCCCAACCCCCGGACUGCUCUGGAAACUGUGUAACUUGAGUGCAGGAGAGGUAAGCGGAAUUCCUAGUGUAGCGGUGAAAUGCGUAGAUAUUAGGAGGAACACCAGUGGCGAAGGCGGCUUACUGGACUGUAACUGACGUUGAGGCUCGAAAGCGUGGGGAGCAAACAGGAUUAGAUACCCUGGUAGUCCACGCCGUAAAC